GACAGAGGCCCCGAGCGUUAGGCGGAAUCACUGGGCUUAAAGCGUGUGUAGGCGGAUCGUUAAGUGUCUUGUGAAAUCCCACGGCUCACCCGUGGAACCGCUGGGCAUACUGGCGAUCUCGGGCCAUUCAGGGGCGACUGGAACAAGCGGUGGAGCGGUGAAAUGCGUAGAUAUCGGGAGGAACACCUGUGGCGAAGGCGGCCCCCUGGGCCGGCCCUGACACUGAGACGCGAAGGCGUGGGGAGCGAACGGG
rnacentral:rRNA from 1 species